UGGCGGACGGGUGAGUAACGCGUGGGUAACCUUCCUUGUACUGGGGGACAACAGUUAGAAAUGACUGCUAAUACCGCAUAAGCGCACAGUAUCGCAUGAUACAGUGUGAAAAACUCCGGUGGUACAAGAUGGACCCGCGUCUGAUUAGCUAGUUGGUAAGGUAACGGCUUACCAAGGCGACGAUCAGUAGCCGACCUGAGAGGGUGACCGGCCACAUUGGGACUGAGACACGGCCUAA
rnacentral:rRNA from 1 species